UUUUUUUUUUUUUUUAAUGGAAGGGGCCGCCUAGCGGGCGGGAGCGCGUGCGUGGGAGAUGGUAGGUCGCCGUGACCUCGCAUCUAAGCUGUGGGUUGGUUUGAUUGCACUCGGCAGAGCCACGACUCUCGGGGCGCGAAGAUCCGAGCUCCCAACUCCCUGCUCCCGGCCACGUGAGAGGCUGGCUGGGUUCCCAGUCUGCGAGCCGAGUGGGAUUUCUCCCAGAAAUAAUUGGAACAUUGAUAAUAAAAAAAAAAACGAACAACCUUGAUAUAGAUUGGAAAGAAGUGAGCAGUUUGGGAAGAUGAUAAUCAUGCUUGGAAAUGAGUGACACAACAGCCAUUCCUGAAGAUGAGGAGACUGAGGUACAGACUGGUUGAACAACAUGCCCAGCACUGAACCCAGUUGGAACAUUUCCUUCUUUUUUUCAAGCCCACAGACCAUGAGAAUGAAGAAGUCUGGUCUCUAGCCCACUGGAGGACAAGGGAUCACAUUGACAGAGAUGAAUUCUUCCAUCUGAGGCCCCCUAUACCCACUGGCCAAUAGCUGGCACUGACCAGAUACGUGUGGGAAGUCGUCAUAGGUCAUCUAGUCCCCGAUGAGCCACCAAAUGGUGGCAGCCAUAUAACUGAGGCCAGGCAAGACCAGUGUUUCUUCUGCUGAUCCCAGCCCAAGUGGCUACCUCCCAGAAAUGUGAGCAAAUAAAAUGGCUGUUUUUUUAAG